GAACAGUGGUAUCCCCGAUCACACUUAAAGCAACUGGUAAGAGUCAUCUCACUAUGUCAAGCACCUAAACAAUUCGCUUUCCCGUUUACCUGGGAUUUCUUUAAUUUAAUCUUUUUUUUUAAUUACAGUGGAUUGAAGGAAUAAGAAAACAGAUAUAUCUAGGAGUCAUUUACAUGCAUACGUAUGCGUUAUACAAUGUCAACAUGGUAUAUGUCAAAAGAUAGAAUAGUAUUAACAUUAUUUUGCUUAUCGCAAAGUUUGAUUUCUUGAUAUUCAUAUAUCAAUGAAUUCUAGCGAAUCCUUUAAUAAAAAGGGUAUUAGUAAAAAUUCUAACAUUGCAUGAAGAAAAUUAAGAUCGGGAAAUAUGAAAAAUCAAUUAAAGAUUUAUGAGGAUUUUAUAUUUUAAAAAUUUUUAGUUCAUUUGUUGAAAUGACAGGUUCCUCAGGUUUACGUAUAGGUAGUUGUUGAAGACAUAAAUAAGAUUAUAUAAUAAUUAAAACCUGGGAGAAGAUUACGGUAUGCUUUAGCAGUAUAAUCAUGAUGUUAAGGCAUAUUUUUCGGGAAGCCAAAAAACGAGUUGGGACCCUGCAGUCAAAAGUUGAUCAUACCUAGGAUUAUACUUAACAAGACCUGGAUUAAUUAUAGACUGAGAAACAAUACGAUGUUCAGGAGGUCUUGUUUUUCCUUUAUGGUGAAAGGUAUGUCUUAAAUUCCAUACAUUCAGGGUACGGUCGUCAGCAGAUCCUAUGACAAAAUUACCUUGAGGUACAAAAGUGGUUGAGCCGCCGUGAAAAUUGUUGGAGAACGGCAAUUCUUGGAAGUCCUCUAAUCUAGAUAAAACAUCCCCGCUGAAUGCAUCAAGUAUAUAGUGAACAUUAGCUCUAGUUGAGAGAAGUAUACAUUUUCCAUCGUUGGAAAACUCCAUAUGUUUCCACUCAGGCAUCAUGGGGGGAAACGAAAACCUUGAUAAGUAACGAGAGUCAUCUAUUGUGAAUGUUGAAAACGGAUCAGAACCAUAAUUCCGCACGUCGUAAAGAAAGAUACGUGACAGUGAAUGACAUGCAACCGCAAAAACAAGACCUGUGGGAUCAUAAGCGGGAAUUCCAAGGGAUGGGAGAUCUAAAUUUCCAAGGCAUCUCGAGGAUUGAUUCAUUUUCCAAAGCUUCAAGGUUUUGUCGUUUGCCGUACUAACGAAUUGGUCUUCAAUAGGAGAAACCUCAAUGGAUGAAACGAUGUCCGUGUGCCCACUGAAGUACGAUAUUCUUUUGUUGUCAUAAAUUGAAACAUAUUGAAUAUCCUUAUUCCCCUUUGUGGUAGACAAAAGUAGAUUAUGAUCGUGGUGUGUAAAACGAGCAACUUCUAUGCCGGUUUCGAAACAAGUUAUUGUAUGGACUUGCUUCGGAUCUAAAGCAUCAUAUAUUUGGACUGUGUCAUCGGCAGAACAUGUCGUUGCAACAUACUCUCCAGAAUCACUGUAAUCAAUGCUAUUAAUGAAGCUUCCUAAUGAGUUAUCACGAAACGACUGUGCAGGCUUUAAACUCGAAAGUAUGCCGAUAUCCAUUGAGAAUUAAAUAAAAUAUAUAAAUUCUCUUUGAAUUUCCUUUUAUAUCCCCUUAAGGGCCUUUCUACUUUGCUAAGCCCUUGCUUGCAUUUGUUUACUUGUGAUUCCACAAAAUUAGAGUAGUGCCAGACAACGUGUUUAACGAACUGUAGCACGUUUUAGUAUACAGUUUUAAAUUACAAUUCGAAAACUUUUAAAAAGAAUAGUGAAGUUGAAAAUUAACAGGCUAUUAAUUUCUCC
rnacentral:lncRNA from 1 species